rnacentral:rRNA from 1 species
UACAGAGGUGGCAAGCGUUGUUCGGAAUUACUGGGCGUAAAGGGCGCGUAGGCGGUCACGCACGUCCGUUGUGAAAUCGCUCGGCUCAACUGGGCGGGGUCAGCGGAUACGGUGUGGCUGGAGCAAGCUAGGGGGCAAUGGAAUUCCCGGUGUAGUGGUGGAAUGCGUAGAUAUCGGGAGGAACACCAGUGGCGAAAGCGGUUGCCUGGAGCUUUGCUGACGCUGAUGCGCGAAAGCGUGGGGAGCGAGCCGG